AUAUUUAUUUGGCAGGCGGAAGUACCGUGAUCAAGAUCUUGGUUUUCAUGGAAUGCGGCUCAAUUGUAUUGAGAGUGCACUGAAUUCUACGGUUUUCUCGAACAGGGGAAUUUCGAUUGUUGGUGACUGCGUGCGCGUUGUUCCUUG
rnacentral:snRNA from 1 species